UGGCUGUAGGAGACCCUGGCCCGGGCAUGGGCGGAAUUGGCGUAGUAAGGGUUGCCCUGUGAGUCCAGGUGGUUGAAGAAGACGUCGACUUCAUCCGGAGGUUAUUUCGGGAGCAACUGUUGCAAGAGGGAGGACAGAGGCCGAUCCCGCAGCCUCAGCACCCCAAAGCAAAAGGAGGAUAAAGAGGGGAACUUUGCACAUACAACAACAGAAAAAAAAAAAGGCGAGGGGGGGUGAAAGAGCCGGCGGAGAGGAGCGGCCGUGUCCCCGAUGUGCCUGGGAAGAGGGAGACGCUGUCGUCAGACGCGCCCUGGGAUCGCCCUGCACGAAACGACUCCAAAACGAGAAACUGUCACUCAGGUGGAAAAACUACAGGAAAAGUGGGGUUUGAAGGCUGCAGAUUUUUCCCCAAGCAGGGACAGACGAGGGUGUCCCAGCGGGGGUUUCGGGGGGCUGAGACCGGCGGAGGCGCAGGGCUGUCACACGAGGCUCACCGCACCGUGCCUGCUCGCCGGCUGGCCUGUCCCGGGACAUCCAGGGCCACCCCUCCACGUGCCACCAGAGGCAUUUUUGGUCGGAGGGACAAGGUGUCACGAUUUUCCCCUCACGCUCGCUGGAAGAGAAGGAUGUUUUCCUUUGCUGUUUAGCUUUCGUACUAAAGAUGUCAUCUGAAAGUCUGGGAGGAAGGAGGGAGCGUGUUCUGCUCUCUUCCACGGUAACAACCAUAUUCUGCAUAUUGAAAAAUAUGAUAGACAGUUGAAGGCUUUUUUCCUUCCUCCCACCACCCCCCCCCCCAAAAAAAA